ensembl:lncRNA
CCAGCUUGCCGGUUGUUCUGUACUGUAACUGAGGGAGAGCGGAGAAAAUAAAUAUCAGCACACACACAAACACGAACGAGCGGAGACGCACACACGUGCAUCUUGUUAAGCAAAGACAUCCAAAACAUCAGAACUUUUGGUGCUGUCUCUUUUGGCCGAGGAGUGCUGUUUCACUGGUUAAAGGUAGCCUGUGGAUAUGUUCUGAGUGGAGCAGCUCAAAGGUCUGAGAGGCAAACGCUGGGCUGCUAUUAGCGUGCCCUUUGCUAGCUGGCGGGGAGGCCCCUGAACAUGUUCCAGGCUGACCUACAUGCUGAGAGCCGCACCCCGACACAAAGGAGGGCAUCGCGUCCCCCAGCCCGCUCCUCCAAGCCCGUCUGAGUCCGAUGCCGGGGACAGUCAGCCGAGAACAGGAAGUAAAGGAGGAAGAAGGAACGGGAGGAGGAGGGAGAGGAACAGGAGGAGGAGGGAGAGGGAGGACGAGGAGGAGAGGACCUUGGCCCCGUGCCCUGAGGACUGCGUGGUCAUCCUCUAAACGGAGUAGGAGUGAAAGCCUUCACACGGUGCCCUGCAGCGCUGAUAGCGGUGGUUACUCAUCUCUGGAGGACAUUGUUUGCUAUGUACUUCACCGUGAACUCCUGGAUUUUAUGGACAUGCGGGCAGGUCGAAGCAGACCUUUGAACGGCCACGACUGUGGGAACCGCAGACAUAACAGGCUGGGAGCUGCUAGUGCUACGCUAUCUUAUCUCCGUGUCAGAAGUCUGAGCAGGGUCGGUCGUGUUUAUGGUUGUGUGCUCAUUGCACUGUAAUUAUUAUACGACGACGGCGGUGUUGCUCGCCAUGGGAAAAGAGGUGAUGAAACA